AAUCCAUAGGUUAAUGAGGCGAACCGGGGGAACUGAAACAUCUAAGUACCCCGAGGAAAAGAAAUCAACCGAGAUUCCCCCAGUAGCGGCGAGCGAACGGGGAGGAGCCCAGAGCCUGAAUCAGCAUGUGUGUUAGUGGAAGCGUCUGGAAAGGCGCGCGAUACAGGGUGACAGCCCCGUACACAAAAGCGCAUGUGCUGUGAGCUCGAUGAGUAGGGCGGGACACGUGGUAUCCUGUCUGAAUAUGGGGGGACCAUCCUCCAAGGCUAAAUACUCCUGACUGACCGAUAGUGAACCAGUACCGUGAGGGAAAGGCGAAAAGAACCCCGGCGAGGGGAGUGAAAAAGAACCUGAAACCGUGUACGUACAAGCAGUGGGAGCCCCACCACUAAGCCAGUGGUGAACUCCACAUCCGCAUCCUUUGCUGAGGAUACGGUUAACGGAGCGAA
rnacentral:rRNA from 1 species